AAAUAGCCCCGAUAGUAGUGAAAAUCCUUUUAUGGCAGUGUUUGCCAUAAAAGAUUGUAACGGAUAGCGGGACGACUC
rnacentral:sRNA from 1 species